GAUGAACGCUGGCGGCGUGCUUAACACAUGCAAGUCGAACGAUGAAGCUCAGCUUGCUGGGUGGAUUAGUGGCGAACGGGUGAGUAACACGUGAGUAACCCGCCCUUAACUCUGGGAUAAGCCUGGGAAACUAGGUCUAAUACCGGAUAGGAGCGCCUACCGCAUGGUGGGUGUUGGAAAGAUUUAUCGGUUUUGGAUGGACUCGCGGCCUAUCAGCUUGUUGGUGAGGUAAUGGCUCACCAAGGCGACGACGGGUAGCCGGCCUGAGAGGGUGACCGGCCACACUGGGACUGAGACACGGCCCAGACUCCUACGGGAGGCAGCAGUGGGGAAUAUUGCACAAUGGGCGAAAGCCUGAUGCAGCGACGCCGCGUGAGGGAUGACGGCCUUCGGGUUGUAAACCUCUUUCAGUAGGGAAGAAGCGAAAGUGACGGUACCUGCAGAAGAAGCACCGGCUAACUACGUG
rnacentral:rRNA from 1 species